rnacentral:misc_RNA from 1 species
AAAAAAAAAAAAUUAUGUGGAUUAUUGGUAUUUAGCAAGUUUCAUCUUUAGAUUUUUCUUUUUGGGGUUUCUCCCCUUCUUUUUUUAUUUUUAUAAUUUUGGGUAAGGAAAUUUUGGCCUUGUAUAAUUGAUAAAUGUAUAUUAGUUGGGUUAUUAUGACUUAAUAGCUUUGUUUCAAUUUCCAAAAAAAAAAAGAAGGGGAGAAACCCCAAAAAG